AGUACGGUAAUUGUUUUGAUCCAGGUGGGUUAACAAAACAUUUUGUGACUUUUUUUUGCUGUUGGGUUCCCUUUUUUUCCCCCUUUGUAAUCCCCCCCCCAAAUACUGCUUGCUUCUAUUAAUCUUUCUCUUUCACCUCAGUUGUUUCUCUUGUACAUUUUGCAGUUUGGAUACAUCGAUGGGAAAUAUAGAUUGGAUGAAGGACACCAAAUAUCUUGAGUCACCUUGGCCAAAUUUGGACCAGUCCUACCUGGUGCAAUUUAUCUCAAGGUGGGAGGAUAAGAAUAAGGUUACACAUCGGAUGAGCCAGCCGAAUGCCCAGCGCAACAACAACACCUGGAAGCAGCUGGCUGGAGAAACUCAUUUCUGGGUUUUCAUUCGCUGCGGACCAAGGUGAGGUCAGAACAACUGUGAGACCCCGUGAACUGAACUUCCAGGAUCACAGCGGCAAGUAGAAAUUCUAAGAAAUAAAGGACCUUUUAAGAUUGCAUUCCUUGAAGAUGGGGCCGCCAACGCUUUGAUGUUUCUUUUCAUUCUGGUUUCUAAUUUAUUUUCUUUGAGUGUGUCUGUCUGGUGUCUCUAAUAACCUUUUACAAAGCGUAAUAAAUGGCCCUUCCCUCCCUCCGUCUCUUCAGAGAAAGGCAGUUUUAAAGCGGGACAAGAAGUAGUUUCUUAACUUACCUGCCAUGUCAUGAGACGAUAUAUUUGCAUAUAUGGUACCUCAGUCCUUGUAAAUAUUGAUCACGUUUUCUUCGACCUUCCUCUCCUCAUAGGCUUCGAUACAUACGGCAGCUCAUUUAGUGACUGUUAAA